rnacentral:tRNA from 1 species
AAGUAGUGAAGUAAUAUUUACAUUUAGUUUCGACCUAAAAAUAGAGUUGUAACUCCUUACUUU